GGGAGAGAACACAGGUUGAGCAGUUACUGCGCUACAUUGUUGAAGAGCCUUCUGAGGAUGCUGAUAGCAAACGGACAUUUAAGUUCCCUUUCAUUGCCUGUGAGAUAUUUACUUGUGAAAUUGAUGUCAUCCUUAAGACUUUAGUGGAUGACGAGGAGCUAAUGAAUUUGCUCUUCUCAUUUUUGGAGCCAAGUCGUCCCCAUAGUGCCCUGCUGGCUGGGUAUUUUAGUAAGGUGGUGAUAUGCCUUAUGGUGCGAAAGACUGCUGCACUUAUGAAUUAUGUUCAGGCCCAUCAUGAUGUUUUCCAACAGAUGGUGGAUUUGAUUGGUAUCACAUCCAUAAUGGAGGUUUUGGUGCGACUUGUAGGAGCUGAUGAUCAUAUGUACCCCACUACUAUGGAUGUGAUGCAAUGGUUGACUGAGAGCAAUUUAUUAGAAAUGAUCGUGGACAAAUUGAGUCCCUCUUGUUCUCCUGAAGUACAUGCUAAUGCAGCAGAAUCACUAUGUGCAAUAACCAGAAACACACCAUCCCCUUUGGCCACCAAACUAUCAAGCCCAAGUUUUGUAGCCAGGAUAUUU
rnacentral:misc_RNA from 1 species